rnacentral:rRNA from 1 species
GAUGAACGCUAGCUACAGGCUUAACACAUGCAAGUCGAGGGGAAACGAUAUUGGAAGCUUGCUUCCGAUAGGCGUCGACCGGCGCACGGGUGAGUAACGCGUAUCCAACCUGCCCACCACUUGGGGAUAACCUUGCGAAAGUAAGACUAAUACCCAAUGAUAUCUCUAGAAGACAUCUGAAAGAGAUUAAAGAUUUAUCGGUGAUGGAUGGGGAUGCGUCUGAUUAGCUUGUUGGCGGGGUAACGGCCCACCAAGGCGACGAUCAGUAGGGGUUCUGAGAGGAAGGUCCCCCACAUUGGAACUGAGACACGGUCCAAAACUCCUACGGGAGGCAGCAGUGAGGAAUAUUGGUCAAUGGACGAGAGUCUGAACCAGCCAAGUAGCGUGCAGGAUGACGGCCCUAUGGGUUGUAAACUGCUUUUAUAAGGGAAUAAAGUCAGGGACGUGUCCCUGUUUGCAUGUACCACAGGAAUAAGGACCGGCUAAUUCCGUGCCAGCAGCCGC